AUUGAACGCUGGCGGCAGGCCUAACACAUGCAGGUCGAGCGGAUGAGAAGAGCUUGCUCUUCGAUUCAGCGGCGGACGGGUGAGUAAUGCCUAGGAAUCUGCCUGGUAGUGGGGGACAACGUUUCGAAAGGAACGCUAAUACCGCAUACGUCCUACGGGAGAAAGCAGGGGACCUUCGGGCCUUGCGCUACCAGAUGAGCCUAGGUCGGAUUAGCUAGUUGGUGGGGUAAAGGCGCACCAAGGCGACGAUCCGUAACUGGUCUGAGAGGAUGAUCAGUCACACUGGAACUGAGACACGGUCCAGACUCCUACGGGAGGCAGCAGUGGGGAAUAUUGGACAAUGGGCGAAAGCCUGAUCCAGCCAUGCCGCGUGUGUGAAGAAGGUCUUCGGAUUGUAAAGCACUUUAAGUUGGGAGGAAGGGUUGCAGGUUAAUACCUUGCAGCCUUGACGUUACCGACAGAAUAAGCACCGGCUAACUUCGUGCCAGCAGCCGCAGUAAUAC
rnacentral:rRNA from 1 species